rnacentral:misc_RNA from 1 species
GAUGAGAACGUAGCGAAAUGCGAUACUUGGUGUGAAUUGCAGAAUCCCGUGAACCAUCGAGUCUUUGAACGCAAGUUGCGCCCGAAGCCAUUAGGCCGAGGGCACGCCUGCCUGGGCGUCACACGUCGUUGCCCCCCCAUCUACUCCUUCGGGAUUGCGGGGGGCGGAUGAUGGCCUCCCGUGCGCCUCGUCGCGCGGUUGGCAUAAAUGCCAAGUCCUCGGCGACGCACGCCACGACAAUCGGUGGUUGCGAAACCUCGGUUGCCCGUCGUGUGCGGUCGUCGCGCAUCGAGGGCUCGAAAAAAUUGCCGGGCUCCGGCUCGACUUUCAACGCGACCCCAGGUCAGGCGGGGUUACCCGCUGAAUUUAAGCAUAUCAAUAAGCGGAGGA